rnacentral:tRNA from 1 species
GGCAAGGUAGCGAAGUCUGGCCAAACGCACCGCACUGUAAAUGCGGCCCUUAAUGGUUCGGAGGUUCAAAUCCUCCCCUUGCCACCA